UUGGAAGUAAAAAGUCGUAACAAGGUCUCCGUUGGUGAACCAGCGGAGGGAUCAUUAAAGAGUUGCAAAACUCCCCUAAACCGUCGCGAACCUACCUCUGAACAGUUGCUUCGGCAGGCCGGCAACCCCCCCCCGGGGGGUGCCGCCAAAGGCCUGCCGAAGGUACCCAAACCAUUGUUUUUGCAGGCCUCUCUGAGUAACGUACUUAAUAAGUCAAAACUUUCAACAACGGAUCUCUUGGUUCUGGCAUCGAUGAAGAACGCAGCGAAAUGCGAUAAGUAAUGUGAAUUGCAGAAUUCAGUGAAUCAUCGAAUCUUUGAACGCACAUUGCGCCCGCCAGUAUUCUGGCGGGCAUGCCUGUCCGAGCGUCAUUUCAACCAUCAAGCCCCGGGCUUGUGUUGGGGACCUGCGUCCGACGCAGGCCCUGAAAGCCAGUGGCGGGCUCGCUGUCCACACCGAGCGUAGUAGCUAACCUCGCUGCGGAGUGGCGCGGGCGCCUGCCGUAAAACCCCCCAGUCUCACAAGGUUGACCUCGGAUCAGGUAGGAAUACCCGCUGAACUUAAGCAUAUCAAUAAGCGGAGGA
rnacentral:rRNA from 1 species